AGAGUUUGAUCAUGGCUCAGGACGAACGCUGGCGGCGUGCUUAACACAUGCAAGUCGAGCGGUAAGGCUCCUUCGGGAGUACACGAGCGGCGAACGGGUGAGUAACACGUGAGCAAUCUGCCCUUCACUUCGGGAUAACUCCGGGAAACCGGUGCUAAUACCGAAUACGACCACCGACGACAUCGUCAGUGGUGGAAAGUUCCGGCGGUGAAGGAUGAGCUCGCGGUCUAUCAGCUUGUUGGUGGGGUAACGGCCUACCAAGGCGACGACGGAUAGCUGGUCUGAGAGGAUGGUCAGCCACAUUGGAACUGAGAUACUGUCCAGACUCCUACGGGAGGCUGCGGUCGAGAAUCUUGGGCAAUGCACGAAAGUGUGACCCAGCGACGCCGCGUGAUGGAUGAAGGCCCUCUGGGUCGUAAACAUCUUUUAUGGGGAAAGAAUAAAUGACGGUACCCCAUGAAUAAGCCACGGCUAACUACGUGCCAGCAGCCGCGGUAAUACGUAGGUGGCAAGCGUUGUCCGGAUUUACUGGGCGUAAAGGGUAUGCAGGCGGAUACUUAAGUAGGAAGUGAAAGGUUGGAGCUCAACUCCAACACUGCUUCCUAUACUGGGUGUCUUGAGUGGCGGAGAGGAAGAUGGAACAAAUCGUGUAGCGGUGAAAUGCGUAGAUAUGAUUUGGAACACCAAUGGCGAAAGCAAUCUUCUGGACGCAAACUGACGCUGAGAUACGAAAGCUAUGGUAGCGAACCGGAUUAGAUACCCCCGUAGUCC
rnacentral:rRNA from 1 species